UCCUUUCUGGUUGCCUCCCUAGUGUGGGUGUUGCUCUGUUGCUGUCUGCUGUCUCUCUCAGCCUGCUUGCCAGAGUGUGUAUAUACGUAUACAUACGACGAUAGAGAAGAAAUGCAACAACACCCGAAACCGACACCUUCCCCUCGCUCAUAGUAACCUGACACUUGUUCACCCUUUGGAAUAGUACUAGCUGACUAGAAUUACCACCUUGACCACAUGAAGAAGAACUACAGUCCCGCUAAGGCACCCGCCGAAGCUAGUAUGUCAGAGUACGAAAUCUCCGUGCAAGAACUGAACGAUCUGUUAUCAAAUGCCAGUGGGUUCUACAGCCUUCCAACCCAGCACUGUAACGAAGUCUUUCCUAGGAUUUAUGUGGGCAACGCCUUUGUUGCCAAGAAUGUUAUGAGGCUUCAGCGUCUAGGAGUGACCCACGUCCUGAACGCAGCAGAGGGGAAGUCCUUCAUGCACGUUAACACCAAUGCUGAGUUCUACGAAGGCACUGGCAUCACCUACCAUGGGAUAAGAGCCAAUGACACUGAGCACUUCAAUCUCAGCAAAUACUUUGAGGAGAGCACAGACUUUAUUGAAAAAGCUCUGGCACAGAAGGACGGCCGGGUUUAUGUCCAUUGCCGUGAGGGGUACAGUCGCUCCCCGACCCUCGUCAUCGCUUACCUCAUGCUGCGCCACAACAUGGACGCGAAGACGGCGCUCUCCACCGUGCGCCAGAAACGAGAGAUCGGACCAAACGACGGCUUCCUGAGGCAGUUGUGUCAGCUCAGCGAGAAGCUGGCUGCAGAGCGCAAACUUAAAGCGAAAUAGAGGAUCCAGGGAGCAAGAAGCUUCUGUGGAAUCCGGUUGGGGGGACGAAUGUUAGGCGACCCUUGGAAACAGUAGAUUAUCUCAUGCUGCAGUUGGUUUCAUCUAGUGCUAGAAAGACUUGGGCAGAAUCAGUGGAAAGCAAUGGAAAUCUUCAGCUAAAGAUACUGAACUUAAAUGUCAGUAAUGCAAGUCGUAUAGAUGUCUAUCAGCAGUACUCUGAUUAAAACAAAGCUGUUUAUCUGGAGAAACCUCUCUGUAUACGAUAGCUCUGAAUUCAGUUUUGUACCUCUGGGUCUGGCACAACCCAGGUCAGAUAGACUAAAAGUAAUUUAUAGAAGCUUUGAUGGAUAUAUAGGAGAUUAGAUUGAUACAGUAGAUAUCUGGAGUUAUGUGUGUGUUUUUGUAUAUAUACUAGGUAGUACUAAUAUAUAAAUAUAAAAUGUUGUGUGUGUGUGUGUGUAUAUAUAUAUAUAUAUAUAUGGAGAGGAAGACAAUAGUAGAAAAUGAUUGACCCGAGGGAAGACUAUUGUUAUCGACAGGCGGCUAUAAUGCCCGAAGCCUGGAGGUAACAACUUUCUUCCCAAAGGGCAUUUAAUUUUCCACUAUGGCUGAGUCUGCAGUACAUAUUUAAUAUAAGAACAUAAGUGAGGCAUGGUUGGAUUGUAAAUACAACUUUAUAUAUUUUGUUUAAAUAUAGCUGAUACAGCAUACAUAAAUAAGUAAAAGACAGAAAUAACAGAAAAUGUUUCUGAAGUUCAUACUGUAUAGUUAACAGUUUGUCUCCGUCUCCAUCUGGUUUGCCACUGCUGCAUAAUCCAGUUUAUAUCCCGCCCGUCAUAUUUGUUUUUGUCAAGUUGAAUAUGUCAGAAAAAGUCAGAAAACAGUGACAGUGACGUUUUACUCACCAUUUUAGUAUUUGGAGCAUUCUUUCUUUUCUAUUAUGUUUUGUAAUUAAUUUUCUGUUAACUCACAGAAUCGGUGUUCAGCCAUUUUCUCUUGUGAAGAGUUCAGGGGAGAAAGGCGUUCCCUUGAAAAGCGGCGGUACUGACAGUGAUGUGAACCAAUCACAUAACAGAUGGAGAUUGUUGACUGGUGGAGAAUGGAUGUUAGGGUAAUAGUUCAAUCUAUUUUUCCUCUUAUGAUGAGGUUUUAACCAAUCACUGAUUAACUGAUUUUAUUUUAUUUAUUAUUAUUAUUAUUAUUAUUAUUAUUAUUAUUAUUAUUAUUAUUAUUAUUAUUAUUAUUAUUUAUUUCUUAGCAGACGCCCUUAUCCAGGGCAACUUACAGUCGUAAACAAAAAUACAUUUCAAGAAUUACAGUACAAGUAUUAAUACAAUUAAGAGCAAUAUACACACACACACAGACACAGCUGUAAUCAAAAGUUUACAUACCCUAAUAGAAAUAUUCUAAUUUCUAGAAAUUUCUUGAAAAUAAACAAUUUAGGAAAGGUUUCGCUUUUGUGGAUGAGGAAAAAAAGUUACAAGAAAUAGAUGUCUACAAUUAUUUAUUUCAGCAAAACUCAAAAAAUGCUAAUUCAAAAGUAUUCCUACCCUUUGAUGCUAUUAUAGUAUUGUCUGCAAGGUGCUAUCAAUAUGAUAAUUCAGAACCUAAUUCUAGAAAAGACUAGAAAAUGCUGGAUUGUAGGUGAACAUUCUUAGUGAGUAUAAAAGGGUUAGGCAUAGGAUGAUUGCUGUCAAUAUGUGAAAAAGUAAAGAGCUAUCUGAACACCUUAGGCAGAAAAUUAUUCAUUGUCAUAAAGCUGGAGAAGGAUACAAGAUUUACAAACAUUUGAGUAUCCCAAUUUCAACUAUUGUUUCUAUUAUCAAGAAGUACAAGAUGGUACUGUCAAAACACUCCCUCUGUCUGGAAGAAAGAAGGUUCUUUCACCAAGAACAAGUAGAAGAAUUGUGAGGAAGGUUAAUAACAAUCCGAGAUUGACUGCCAAAGACAUUCAAAGUGAAUUGGCUGCAAGUGGGACUGGGGUUUCCAUUUCAACCAUAGGUCGAGUAUUGCACGGUGAAGGUCUCAAUGGUCGCAGGCCAAGGAAAAAGCCACUCUUAGGAAAAUGUCACAAGGACAAUCACUUGAAGUUUGCAAAACGGCAUUUGAAUGAUGGAUAUGAGUUCUGGUCAAAGGUUUUGUGGAGUGAUGAAACAAAAAUCGAGCUAUUUGGUCACGCUGAUUGUCGUUACAUUUGGAGAAAGUCUGGUGAGGCGCACAAAGAAAAGAACACCAUACCUACUGUCAAGCAUGGAGGUGGUAAUAUCCUUCUAUGGGGCUGUUUUUUCUCUAAUGGCACAGCAAAUUUAGUUCUAAUACAUGGUAAAAUGGAUUCCACAGCAUACCAAAAGAUAUUGGCCAAUCAUCUGAAACCCUGCGCUACAAAAUUUGGCUUAAAGAGGCACUGGAAAAUAGAGUAGAUAAGAACAUGAUACCUACUGAGGAAAUAUUAAAUAUGAUCAAGAUAGUUUUAGAAAGUAGUUAUUUUACAUUUGUUACAAACAGAAUGAUGGCACAGCAAUAAGCUCAAAAUUAGUUUUGCAUAUUGCAAGCACAUAUAUGGGCAAAUGGGAGGAAAUGUUAUUGAGUAAACUAGACAAAAAACCAUCAGAAUACAUAAGCUAUGUGGAUGACUGUGAAUGUGUGGGUUGCAGUGCGCAGGUGAAAGGGUGAUGCAGGUGUUCCAGACAACGACAAACACGGUUCAAGUUCUUUUAUUUUCCUUUUGGUCUCCUUGACCGUUUAAAUAAUAAUAAUAUUGCUGGCUCUACCCAACUAUGGGUAUUGCCAGCGUCAAAACCAAGGGUUUGCAGUCCCGAAAUAACAAACACAGUCUCCAGACAGUGCGUGCUCUCAGUGCAGGUGCGGUGCUGGAAACAGUGGUGCUGGUGUGUGUUCAGGUGCAGUGCUAUAAACAGUGGUGCUGGUGUGUGUUCAGGUUCAGUGCUAUAAACAGUGGUGCUGGUGUUUGUUCAGGUGCAGUGCUAUAAACAGUGGUGCUGGUGUGUGUUCAGGUUCAGUGCUAUAAACAGUGGUGCUGGUGUUUGUUCAGGUGCAGUGCUAUAAACAGUGGUGCUGGUGUGUGUUCAGGUUCAGUGCUAUAAACAGUGGUGCUGGUGUUUGUUCAGGUGCAGUGCAGUCCGGGUGUAUCGCUGGCGUAAAGCGGCAGCUCCCAGAUCCGUAUUUAGCCGUCUGGCAAAGAUGAACACGCACAGUUAAGCAAAAAGCAACACUUCACUCACAGUUUAAUCGUCCUCAUUUCCUCCCAUUAACCACAACAAAGGAGCUGAUUACGGCGCCACGUCCCCCUAAACUACCCUAAGCCCCGCCCCCUCCGAUAGCUGGUUCAAUCACGUCUCCUCCAAUUCAUGAAUGAAACUUCGCUCACCGUACUAGGGCGAGGACUCCUGGUACCAUGAUGCCGCCCCCUUCCUGAAUGGCCGGCUUCCGACUGCCCCUGGAAAGAACUGCCCAACCAUUCAGUACAAGGCACACAGUUCCUGUUGUACAGGGCCCUCAUAGGUCGAGAGGAAGAUUGUUGAUUCGGAUUCAUUCACUCUCUGUCACAAUAACAUAUUUGGAAUAUGGACACAUGGAGAAGAAUCUCUUGUACAGUUUAAUAAAUUAGCAAUUAUAUCCACCCUAACAUUUCUGUGGAUUUAAGGUGGACAAAAUCUGAAAUUUAAUUCUUAGACACCUUGGUUAAACUUGAUCAAGGAUCUAUUAAAACAGAUCUUUACUCGAAACCCACUGAUAUGCAUCAGUACCUACAUAUGUCAUCUGCACAUCCUAUCUAUACUAAAAGAGCAAUCCUUAAAGGACUGGGUAUAAGGAUAAAAGGAAUCUGUUCUGAUGAAAAUGACUACAAAAAACAGAGAAAGGUAUUAAAAAUAAAUCGAGAAAAGUUGACAAACUCGAUAGGAAUGAACUACUGGAGGAUAAGAAAAGGGAAGAGAGGGUUAAGAGUGUGCCAUUAAUAAUUACAUAUUCUAAAUUAUUACCCAACAUUUCAAAAAUAGUUUGGAAGCAUUUACGUAUACUUCAUAAUUCAGAACAAAUGAAAAAAAAUAUUUCCAAAAGCACCAAUCGUAGCUUUUAGAAGGCAAAUUUAGCUGACAUUUUAGUCCACAGUAAACAUAAUGGGGUCAUAGAUACAUUAAGGGACUUUGCAACCUGUAAAAGCACAUGUAAAGUGUGCAAAUAUAUUGGUGGAGAGCUUUUCUCCUUGGGAUGACAUUAAAAUGGAGUGUGCAGCAUUUUCUUAUGGACACACUUAUUGAUGGAUGGUGGCUCAAUGACCUUCAUAGCUUGUAUAGGAUAUGUGUUUUUAUGCACAGGGUAGUUAUAAUGUCAUCAAAAACAAAGUAUAACAUUCCUAAUCUAAUAGAAGAACGUUGUUCAUAAAAAAGUGAAUCUUUGUGUAGUUAAUAAUGUUAUCCUACAUUAAACUGUAAACGUAUCAGCUAAAGCUACAGCACCCUCGAUAUACAGUACUUAGUGGUAUUUAGUUUAAGGAUCUGUUAUAAGUGGUUAUACGUAUGAAUUAUUUAAUAAUACAUAUUAAAACAUAGCAGAUUCCCAUGUUAAAGUGUUACAGGUAUUCUUGUUACCUAUUAAGAUGAAUGUAUUUAGGUUUUUACACCAAAAUACAAUUAGCAAUUGCUAAUAAUACAAUUACUGUUUUGUCUCUAAACAGUUUUAUUUUCCAAAAAAAGAUGCAAAUAGUUUUUUUUUUUUUUAAAGAUCUUUAUAUAUCUGGCACAAUGUUCGGUUCCUUUCAUUGCUCUAUGUGUUUUUACCAUAGUAGCUCUAUAAAGUGUCCAAGGGACUUCGCACCCUGUAUAUUUAAUUAUGUUUGGGGUCCAGGUGCCAUUUACACUUUUAAGGUUUGAUCGAAUGUUACACCAUAUGACAUUCCUAUUACAAAAUCUGGACCCCAGACUGUUCUCCAUAGCAGCGUACUUAUACAAACCUGUAUGUAUACGCCGGGGGGGAGCUUCUAGGUAUUAUUUUGACACAUUUUGAACUGCACUGGCUGUGUUAGAGAAGUGACCAAAUGCUUGUAGAGCUUCCUACUUUGAAUAUGCUGUGUUGUGUGUAUCACUCCUUUUAUCUGAACAUCUUCACUACUGCCUAUGGUAAUAAUUUUAUUACUUAAACUCAUAUAUGGUAAAAGAUUUGGUUUCCUACCAAUGUACUACAACUACAUGGAACUGCUCUGUUCGGGAGGCAAUUUUAGAUACUGUAUUUUACUGAUGUAUUUUACUGAUGUAUUUUACUGAUGUAUUUUACUGAUGUAUUACAGGCAACAGAAUCCAUGUGGAAUACUGCCAUCUAGUGAUAUAAGGUUGUUUUACAAGAUGUUUUUUUGUAAAUGCGAAACCUAUUCUACAGGACGGGUGUCCGUUACUCAAUGCUUGUCUGCAGUAUUGUGCCUUGAAACUUUGAAAUGUGUCUUAAAAGAAUAAUUACCUUCAAAUGUAUUUUUUUUUUUUUCAUUUUCUCAAUAUGGUAUGGUGUUUGCAAUUAUUCUUAGUGGUUCUUGGUUCUGUUGCUCCAAUAUUUACUUAUUUUCAAUUUUCUCUAAAUCUGCCUUUAACUGGCUUUGAGUUUGUCUGGAGUAUUUGGUGUUGGGACUGAAUUCCUCAUUGAAUUCAAAUCAUGUGAUAAUGUGAUAAUGCUCUAGUUGCCUGCCUGAACUUAUGUAACAAAGACUAGAUCAGCCAAAGUGUGCAUAGCAGUAAGAGCCAGCACCCUCUAGUGAACAGCUACUUUUUGCUGGUAAUACACAGCUGUGUACUAGAUUGUGGUGGAAAUACCUAUGUUACAUAUCUCUGUGGAAGACAACUAGAAUUGAAAAGCAUCGCCUAAAUUCAGGUCAAAUCAAAUAUGAGUAACUGAAAUAAGAAUCACUCAGAAUGACUAACAUCAUAAAAAGUAAAAAAGAAAAAAAAAAGUUUUAGUUAUUGCUUCCUUGAAUUCAGGCAGGAAAACUAGCUCCCAGUACCAAUAGAACCGCAUUGCAUAGCCAAGUUUCAAGCACAAUGCAAAUGCAAAGUAUCGGACUUAUUUUACUGCAAAGGGCAUACCGUUGUUGAUAUAUUGAUUUUGUUUUUUGUAAAACAUGGGCCAAAAAAAGUCCCUUUGGAAACCUCUCCUUAAAAAAAUUUCACAAAUUAAAAAAUUAUUUAAAAGUUGUCAUUUCUUUUUUUACAUCUGAUGAAGUCACCCUAAAUUUCAAAGGCUCUUAGAGCAGGGUUCUCAACCUCUUCACAAGGAACUGUCCCUCAAACUGGGCUGCACAGCACCAGCUGCCCUUAUGAAGGCAUUGGUCAAAGGGAUUGUUUCUUUGACCUAACUUCUUAAAUUGCACCACCUAGAGUUACUUAAGCUAUAACUCUUUAAGUAUAAAAGGAAAUAAACUGACUCGCAACCUUGUCAAGGUCACUAAUAACCAUCCCGAAAGUUAUUGCAAUUAAGCAACAAGCGUUUUCAAUAUAAUUUUUUCCUUAAAUAUUUAAAAAGACCAAGUUAUAUUUUUUUUCCAACAAGUGUAGAUGAUUGUUAAAUCGGCACCUGUACAGUAUCCAUAUCAGUUACAAGUCCUAUGUCUUUUUACUGUAUUGAAAGUGCUGUAUAUACACAGACGUUUUGAAAGAGGAGUUCUGGGUCAGCUUCAUUGCAAUGAUAAACAGCACCACUGAAAGUCUGUUUCUUUGAGUGGCUUGAGGCUUAGCUGUGCUGAGGAUUGAAAAGUAAAGCCUAUUAGGUUUGAAUUAUCACAGGAUAUACUGAUUCUGUACUGAGUUGGUAUAUGGUAGGAUACCAAUAGAAAUAAGUGGGACAGUCAGUCCCACUGUUGUAUAAUAAGUGACACCAGGGUAAGCACAGUAGCAGUUUCAGAAAUGACAGUGGGAGGUUAUCUUUGAAGGAAGCAAACAGUUUCACUGCUGUCCGCUGGUUGAGAACCACUUCCCUAGAGGACUCCACAGAUGUUUUGAAUGACUUGUUUUAAAUGAGACAAUUUUAUUUCAUUUCAUUUGGAAUGAGGCAGUAAAGAGAGAACCAAUAUCCUUUUGCCCUGAAAACUGUCCAAAUGUACUUUUUAAAGCAAUGUUGUAAUGUUGUUUUUCUUGUAUAACCUACUGUGACUGCUCACGAAGUGCUGUGUUUCUACUUAUGCUGCAGAAACUGUGAUUUUGCUUUGUAAAACAAAAAAUGUAUAUGCCAUACAGUGUGCUUUGUGCAGACAAUUGUAGCUAAUUCACAAAUAUGGUAUACCUUGUAUAAUUUAACAGUGCUAGUUAUAAAAUAUAUUAACAAGUUUACAGACCAUGGUAUAAAAUCAGUAUUACACUAAUUACAAUACAAUGGUAAUAAUGACCUUACAAAAAUGGGUGAUGGAUUGUACUAUUAUACUAGUUAGAGAUGCACUGGUCACCUAAGGUUUAUUACAAGUUUUUUGAGGUUUUAAGUACUUUUCCUGCACUGUAAUCCUGUUUUCUUUUUAAAUGCUGAUGCACUGUGUUUUUUGUUGUAAUCUCUGGGAAAUGAAACUUCCAUAGACAACAAUAGCAAAAACAAACACAAAAAAGACUACACUCCCAGAAUACACCACUACCCAACAUCACAAGAAUACCGCAUCAUGAUGGGUACUGUAGUCAACAGACCAUCAAAAGCUAGAUGCAACUGUUAUAAUAUACAUCAACCAUUGAGACAAACAACCUCUUGAUCCUGUUUAGGGCCCUAUGUGAGCACUAUUUCUCAAUAGAUAAAUAUGAACAUCUACACAUUUGUAUUGUUGCCUUUUCCGUGUGCGAGUGGAGAGCUACUUCACUUUCUAGAAUACCCUUCUAAUUUCUACAUUGUUGACAGCAUGUAAAGGGUUUGUGUGAACAUCUGCCCUGAGGCCUUACACAAGAAAUUAUUGUAUAUUUUUUAUUUGUGUGAUUACUUUACAACAACAAAAAAGGGAGCUGAUCUCCUUAGCUGAUGAAUACACUGAUGUUUGUUGAAGUGCACUUGAUUUAAGAUUUUAGUGUUAUUUUUUUUAUGCAGAAGAGUUUUUAGUUAAACAAUAAAUGGUGAAAAAAAGACAA